rnacentral:rRNA from 1 species
GAUGAACGCUAGCGGCAGGCCUAACACAUGCAAGUCGAGGGGUAACAUAGAAAAGCUUGCUUUUCUGAUGACGACCGGCGCACGGGUGCGUAACGCGUAUACAACCUACCUUUUAGUCGGGGAAUAGCCCAGGGAAACUUGGAUUAAUGCCCCAUAGUAUAUAGACUUCUCCUGAAGUUUAUAUUAAACAUUUAUGGCUAUUAGAUGGGUAUGCGUCCUAUUAGUUAGUUGGUAAGGUAACGGCUUACCAAGGCAGCGAUAGGUAGGGGUCCUGAGAGGGAGAUCCCCACACUGGUACUGAGACACGGACCAGACUCCUACGGGAGGCAGCAGUGAGGAAUAUUGGACAAUGGGCGAGAGCCUGAUCCAGCCAUGCCGCGUGCAGGAAGACUGCCCUAUGGGUUGUAAACUGCUUUUACAGAGGAAGAACCACCCCCACGCGUGGGGGUUUGACGGUACUCUGCGAAUAAGGAUCGGCUAACUCCGUG